rnacentral:lncRNA from 1 species
UGGGGACUUAGGAGGAGCCAGGAUGAAAAGCUUGCCUGUUCCCUAAACUUGGCAGGGCUAUUCUGGAAGCCUGGCUCUCCCCCUGUCUGGCUGAGAAGACAUUCCUCUCACUAGAUCAUAAAGUCCUGUCCCGUUGUGGCCGUGGUCCGUCUACCCCUCAGCACCUGCCCUGUGUCUACACGAAUUUGUCAGACUGGACAGAAGAAGCCCACAGCCAGGGUGGGCUGGGUUUUUCCAAUCCCUGUCAGCAUUCUUAUACUCCCAGUGUGGUUUCUUGGAGGCUAAGCCCAGUUUUCUUUAGCCCCUCGACUUGCAGGUCCAAGCGAAGCUACCAGACCAGCUCUUCCAAACCGUACGCCAGAUGGGACCUGCACUCCAGCCACUGCAAGCAGCUUUGUUUUCAGCACAAAUGCCAGGACUUGAGAAAAGUGUUCACAACGUCAUGGUAAGACGUAUCUCCAUGGAACCAGAGGGCUCGCAGUCUGCGGGCUCAGGCGCAUAAAAAAUAUUUAUUGGACAGGAGAAUGGCUGAUGGAGGGCAGGACAGCUGGAUGGAAAGUGAGACCUGACUCAGGAGGGAGCUGCUAUCUCCUUCUGUUCUCAGUUCCCCUGACGUCCUGCGUGCCUCACAUCCUCCAUCACCUCCAACACUGAGCAGGGCUUGGCUUCUGCUGGGAGAACGGAAUGGGAAAGAUUUUUGGCAGUGGGAGAAAUGGGAGUUGAUGCUUCAAUUUGUUCCACGUCACAGGCCUCAAAGAGCUUUCACAUACCUGUUCUCAUUCACGAUUUGCAAUCACACUGCCAGGAUGAAGGAACUACCUGAGAGAUCCAGAUGGAAAUGUGGUGGCUCAGAGUGGGAAAGUCACUUCCCUAAAGCCACACACCUCGAAAGCGGCAGGGGCAGGACUCCAACACAGAUCCUUCCAACUCCAGGGUGGUGAACCAUCUCCAAGUGUGCGUUUCUCAGCCUGGACCUCAUGCUGCCUUUAUAGGGGGUGGAAGCAGAAAUGAUGACUGGGGCAAGGCCACGGGGCUGCUCGUUAAGAGUGGGGAUGCUGAGGUUAGUGCACAAGACCCCAGCUCUCUCCAGAUUCCUCCUUAUAGUCCUGCAUGAAAAGAACCUACAUGCAGGCCACCAGAAACACUGUCUCCUCACAGGAACGAUCUAGCAUAACCCACAAUAAGAAAAGCUCAGAAUCCUGCAGGGGCCCAGCAGACCUCAUGAACGGUGGGCCUCAAAUUUUCAGCCUCUCUGGGCUACUUAACUCAGACCAUCAACUUUAGACGCAGAAACUAAGCUUCCAAGAGGUAACUCACCCAAGGUCACAAAGCCAAUUAAAACGGUGGAAGCUGGAUUCCACCCAGGCCUUUCGGAUUCCAGAAGUAACACAGCAACUGAGUAUAAAUGGCUGCUGGAAACGUUUCAUAGGUCCUCCCCAUCCCCCGAUCCGGAUUUCUGUGUCUUGCGUCACA